rnacentral:rRNA from 1 species
UGCUUGGGAAUCUACCCAGUAGCGGGGGAUAACCUAGGGAAACUUAGGCUAAUACCGCAUACGACCUACGGGUGAAAGCAGGGGAUCGCAAGACCUUGCACUAUUGGAUGAGCCCAAGUCGGAUUAGCUAGUUGGUGGGGUAACGGCCUACCAAGGCGACGAUCCGUAGCUGGUCUGAGAGGACGAUCAGCCACACUGGGACUGAGACACGGCCCAG